AGAGUUUGAUCAUGGCUCAGAACGAACGCUGGCGGCAGGCUUAACACAUGCAAGUCGAACGCGUGUAGCAAUACACGAGUGGCGCACGGGUGAGUAACGCGUGGAUAUCUGCCUUUUGGUUCGGAAUAACCCCGGGAAACUGGGGCUAAUACCGGAUGGUUCCUUCGGGAUAAAGAUUUAUCGCCAAAAGAUGAGUCCGCGUACGAUUAGCUAGUUGGUGAGGUAAUGGCUCACCAAGGCGACGAUCGUUAGCUGGUCUGAGAGGACGAUCAGCCACACUGGGACUGAGACACGGCCCAGACUCCUACGGGAGGCAGCAGUGGGGAAUAUUGGACAAUGGGCGCAAGCCUGAUCCAGCCAUGCCGCGUGAGUGAUGAAGGCCUUCGGGUUGUAAAGCUCUUUUGGCGGGGACGAUGAUGACGGUACCCGCAGAAUAGACCCU
rnacentral:rRNA from 1 species